rnacentral:misc_RNA from 1 species
GAUGAAGAACGUAGCGAAAUGCGAUAAGUAGUGUGAAUUGCAGAAUUCAGUGAAUCAUCGAAUCUUUGAACGCACAUUGCGCCUUCUAGUAUUCUGGGAGGCAUGCCUGUUUGAGCGUCAUUAAACCUCUCUCAAGUAUGAUUACUUGGAUAUGAAGGAAGAGUACCUUAAACUUAAGGAGUGUUCUCCUUUGAAAUUGAUUAGCAGAUGGUAAUGUUAUUAAAUCCCUGAUGUUGUAAGAAAUAACAGUGGUUUUGUAGACUAUUAUCUAGCUUUAAAUUAUAAUUUUUAUUAUGGUUGACCUCAAAUCAGGUAAGGAUACCCGCUGAACUUAAGCAUAUCAAUAAGCGGAGGA